rnacentral:rRNA from 1 species
GAUGAACGCUGGCGGCGUGCCUAAUACAUGCAAGUCGAGCGAACAGACGAGGAGCUUGCUCCUCUGACGUUAGCGGCGGACGGGUGAGUAACACGUGGAUAACCUACCUAUAAGACUGGGAUAACUUCGGGAAACCGGAGCUAAUACCGGAUAAUAUAUUGAACCGCAUGGUUCAAUAGUGAAAGACGGUUUUGCUGUCACUUAUAGAUGGAUCCGCGCCGCAUUAGCUAGUUGGUAAGGUAACGGCGUACCAAGGCGACGAUGCGUAGCCGACCUGAGAGGGUGAUCGGCCACACUGGAACUGAGACGCGGUCCAGACUCCUACGGGAGGCAGCAGUAGGGAAUCUUCCGCAAUGGGCGAAAGCCUGACGGAGCAACGCCGCGUGAGUGAUGAAGGUCUUCGGAUCGUAAAACUCUGUUAUUAGGGAAGAACAAAUGUGUAAGUAACUAUGCACGUCUUGACGGUACCUAAUCAGAAAGCCACGGCUAACUACGUG